UACGGAGGGUGCAAGCGUUAAUCGGAAUUACUGGGCGUAAAGCGCACGCAGGUGGCUGAGUCAGUCGAUUGUGAAAGCCCUGGGCUUAACCUGGGAAUUGCAGUCGAUACUACUCGGCUCGAGUAUGGGAGAGGGCAGUGGAAUUCCCGGUGUAGCGGUGAAAUGCGUAGAUAUCGGGAGGAACAUCAGUGGCGAAGGCGGCUGCCUGGCCCAAUACUGACACUGAGGUGCGAAAGCGUGGGGAGCAAACAGG
rnacentral:rRNA from 1 species